rnacentral:tRNA from 1 species
GGCCGGGUGGCGAAGUGGCUAACGCAGAGGUCUGCAAAACCUCCACUCGUGGGUUCAAAUCCCACCCCGGCCUCCA